GACGAACGCUGGCGGCGCGCUUAACACAUGCAAGUCGAGCGAAGCGGCGGACGGGUGAGUAACACGUGAGUAACCUGCCUUAGACAUUGGGAUAGCCUCGGGAAACCGGGAUUAAUACCAAAUGGUCUAAGAUGGACUCGCGCCCCAUUAGCCAGUUGGUGAGGUAACGGCCCACCAAGGCGACGAUGGGUAGCCGGCCAGUGAGGGUGAGCGGCCACAUGGGAGCUGGGAAACGGUCCAAACUCUACGCUAGGGAGCAGUGGGGAAUAUUGCACAAUGGAGGGAACUCUGAUGCAGCGACGCCGCGUAAACGAAGAAGGCUUUCGAGUCGUAAAGUUCUUUUAUAUGGGAAGCGGUACCAUAAGAAAAAGCCCCGGCUAACUACGUGCCAGCAGCCGCGGUAAUUC
rnacentral:rRNA from 1 species